rnacentral:rRNA from 1 species
AAACCAACAGGGAUUGCCCCAGUAACGGCGAGUGAAGCGGCAACAGCUCAAAUUUGAAAUCUGGCUCUCGGGCCCGAGUUGUAAUUUGUAGAGGAUGCUUUUGGUGAGGUGCCUUCCGAGUUCCCUGGAACGGGACGCCAUAGAGGGUGAGAGCCCCGUCUGGUUGGACGCCGAACCUCUGUAAAGCUCCUUCGACGAGUCGAGUAGUUUGGGAAUGCUGCUCUAAAUGGGAGGUAUAUGUCUUCUAAAGCUAAAUACCGGCCAGAGACCGAUAGCGCACAAGUAGAGUGAUCGAAAGAUGAAAAGAACUUUGAAAAGAGAGUUAAACAGUACGUGAAAUUGUUGAAAGGGAAGCGCUUGUGACCAGACUUGGGCUUGGUUGAUCAUCCGGGGUUCUCCCCGGUGCACUCUUCCGGCCCAGGCCAGCAUCAGUUCGCCCUGGGGGACAAAGGCUUCGGGAACGUGGCUCUCUCCGGGGAGUGUUAUAGCCCGUUGCGUAAUACCCUGUG